rnacentral:rRNA from 1 species
AUUGAACGCUGGCGGCAGGCCUAACACAUGCAAGUCGAACGAGGGGCGGAGGGGUGUGUAAUGUGUGGGACACUGCCCGAGGGAGGGGGAUAACUACUGGAAACGGUAGCUAAUACCGCAUCCCAUCGGAUGUGCCCAGAUGGGAUUCGCUAGUAGGUGGGGUAACGGCUCACCUAGGCGACGAUCUCUAGCUGGUCUGAGAGGAUGAACAGCCAAACUGGAACUGAGACACGGUCCAGACUCCUACGGGAGGCAGCAGUGGGGAAUAUUGCACAAUGGGCGCAAGCCUGAUGCAGCCAUGCCGCGUGUAUGAAGAAGGCCUUCGGGUUGUAAAGUACUUUCAGCGAGGAGGCGUUACUCGCAGAAGAAGCACCGGCUAACUCCGUGCCAGCAGCCGCGGUAAUUC